AGGACGAACGCUGGCGGCGUGCCUAACACAUGCAAGUCGAGCGAAUGAAGUUCCUUCGGGAACGGAUUUAGCGGCGGACGGGUGAGUAACACGUGGGCAACCUACCUCAUAGAGGGGAAUAGCCUUCCGAAAGGGAGAUUAAUACCGCAUAAGAUUGUAGUACCGCAUGGUACAGCAAUUAAAGGAGCAAUCCGCUAUGAGAUGGGCCCGCGGCGCAUUAGCUAGUUGGUGAGGUAACGGCUCACCAAGGCGACAAUGCGUAGCCGACCUGAGAGGGUGAUCGGCCACAUUGGGACUGAGACACGGCCCAGACUCCUACGGGAGGCAGCAGUGGGGAAUAUUGCACAAUGGGGAAACCCUGAUGCAGCAACGCCGCGUGAGUGAUGACGGCCUUCGGGUUGUAAAGCUCUGUCUUCAGGGACGAUAAUGACGGUACCUGAGGAGGAAGCCACGGCUAACUACGUG
rnacentral:rRNA from 1 species